CUCAGUAACACGUGGAUAACCUGCCCUUAGGACUGGCAUAACCCCGGGAAACUGGGGAUAAUUCCGGAUAGUUCAUGGUAGCUGGAAUGCUCCAUGAUCGAAAGCUAUUGCGCCUAAGGAUGGGUCUGCGGUCUAUCAGGUAGUAGUGGGUGUAAUGUACCUACUAGCCGACGACGGAUACGGGUUGUGGGAGCAAGAGCCCGGAGAUGGAUUCUGAGACAUGAAUCCAGGCCCUACGGGGCGCAGCAGGCGCGAAAACUUUACAAUGCGGGAAACCGCGAUAAGGGGACACCGAGUGCCAGCAUCUUAUGUUGGCUGUCCGCAUGUAUAAAUCACAUGUGUUAGCAAGGGCCGGGCAAGACCGGUGCCAGCCGCCGCGGUAACACCGGCGGCCCGAGUGGUGGCCACUAUUAUUGGGUCUAAAGGGUCCGUAGCCGGUUUGGUCAGUCUUCCGGGAAAUCUGACGGCUUAACCGUUAGGCUUUCGGGGGAUACUACCAGGCUUG
rnacentral:rRNA from 1 species